rnacentral:rRNA from 1 species
AUUGAACGCUGGCGGCAUGCUUUACACAUGCAAGACGAACGGUAACAGGCCUUCGGGUGCUGACGAGUGGCGAACGGGUGAGUAAUGCAUCGGAACGUACCCAGAGGUGGGGGAUAACGCAGCGAAAGCUGUGCUAAUACCGCAUGUGAUCUGAGGAUGAAAGCGGGGGACCGAGCAGCAAUGUUUGGCCUCGCGCCUUUGGAGCGGCCGAUGUCGGAUUAGCUAGUUGGUGGGGUAAAGGCCUACCAAGGCGACGAUCCGUAGCUGGUCUGAGAGGACGACCAGCCACACUGGGACUGAGACACGGCCCAGACUCCUACGGGAGGCAGCAGUGGGGAAUUUUGGACAACGGGCGCAAGCCUGAUCCAGCAAUGCCGCGUGCGGGAAGAAGGCCUUCGAGUUGUAAACCGCUUUUGGCAGGAACGAAACGGUGUCCGCUAAUACCGGGCGCUAAUGACGGUACCUGCAGAAUAAGCACCGGCUAACUACGUG